rnacentral:rRNA from 1 species
CACAAGCGGUGGAGCAUGUGGUUAAUUCGAAGCAACGCGAAGAACCUUACCAGGUCUUGACAUCCCGAUGCUAUUUCUAGAGAUAGAAAGUUACUUCGGUACAUCGGUGACAGGUGGUGCAUGGUUGUCGUCAGCUCGUGUCGUGAGAUGUUGGGUUAAGUCCCGCAACGAGCGCAGCCCCUAUUGUUAGUUGCCAUCAUUCAGUUGGGCACUCUAGCGAGACUGCCGGUAAUAAACCGGAGGAAGUGGGGAUGACGUCAAAUCAUCAUGCCCCUUAUGACCUGGGCUACACACGUGCUACAAUGGUUGGUACAACGAGUUGCGAGUCGGUGACGGCGAGCUAAUCUCUUAAAGCCAAUCUCAGUUCGGAUUGUAGGCUGCAACUCGCCUACAUGAAGUCGGAAUCGCUAGUAAUCGCGGAUCAGCACGCCGCGGUGAAUACGUUCCCGGGCCUU